GUCCAGUUGGCAGAGCAAGGCUGAGACACCGCCAUGAAGUUGCUUGUCCAUUUCUAAAGCAUAUACAGGGCUGUGAGUCUCAAUCAGAGGUCAGCACCAGAAUCAACCAAGGAGCUUUUCCAGUCUGCAGGGCACAGCGGCUCAUGCCUAUUAUCCCAGCACUUUGAGAGGCUGAGGCGGGAGAAUCACUUGAGCACAGGAUUUCAAGACCAGCA